CACUCAUUGACCAAGGCAAACAUCACACUAAUCGAAAUUAGGAAAACCAAAGAAAUAUAACGGAAGCGCGCAUUGUGGUUUAUAUCGCAUAUGCAGGUAAAUCACAAAGAUGUAUACCAAGAAACACUAAGCAAAACUGCGCCUUAGCAAUCGCGUCAUAUCUAUUUGCUGGCAUGCAGUGACUGCAGCACUUGGGGCGGAAACAGAUCGAACGCCGCCGCAAAUUUCUGGCACAUACCACUCAAAUGCACGCUGCAGAAACGAUUUUUUUUUUUUCAAGGAAUCUUGAACAGUCACAGACCACAUGAGCGCGAUCCGCGCAUGAUAAGCGCAUCGCCACGAAAGCAAGAUAGGGAACACAUAAGCGUAACCUGUACCUCACGGGUAAAAUUAAACAUCAUCGUAUAUACGUUGCUGUGCGACGGACACAAGCGCACGGAAACAUCACACACUGCACACGUGUACCUCCGAGGUUGUGUCGACAAUUUCUGGGCUACAUUUAAACGACAGCAGGAAGUUACUUCAAUGAGAAACGAAGUGAGGGCACAGGCACUGCAGGUAACGGCUGCGCAUAAAGUCAGUUAGGGUUUUAAGGCCAGUGACCGAGGUUGAAAUCGUUAAAAUCACACCGCAGCGAUAGCUUACACAGGGUAAAUUGUCGAGAUCUUGAAGGCCAUGCUUUUUGCUGACUACAUGUGGCAUAAGCGAUUCAAAAGCAAGAAUACUGCAUGUAAUUUAUUUCUGCCCUAAACUAUAGCACACAAUAUGAGCAUGUCAAUGUUUCUUCUUGUCUAGCAACAUAUGUAUGUAGUUCGGCUCAAAGGCCGGCUCAAAACGGCACAAAACCUGCUGUAGUGGGUAUUAUUGUAGGAAUCACGGAGGCCACAGCAGCCGCACUAUUAUACAGACGGCGCUGGCGGCGCCGGUAUUUUCGUAUUCAACGCGACAGGUAGAAUACGAAGCUACGGCGUGUUGUUAUUGCUCCGUCUUCAACGGUUGUCGUGCGAGCUGCGUCGAUGUGUUUGUUUGACCGUGUGUUAUUAGGUUUGCUGUAAUGAAAUGAGACGUAGUUCGCGAGCACGAAAGUGCCAGAAGAUGGCUUGAGUCUCGCUGUAAGCACGCCGUAUGCGUGGCGCGCCAGCUAAAUGUGGACCAACGAUUUUCAUGCCAUGGAGUGCGUUCCCUUUGUCUCCGCUUGUGUUCGUGGAAAGUUUGGUGGACGGCGCAGAGAAGUAAUGCGUAUUAUUAGCGCGCCUCAGCUCGUCCACUACCCAGUGGCUUGUUUGCUGCAAGUAACAUCGCAGACGCAUCACUGGAAACUUGGAGAGUGCCUUUCGACCUCGUCGUACUGUUGAAACGUGGCGAGGCCGUGACCCACAACAUUAACUACAAGAUCGAGGAGCCCCAAGAAAUGCCGACCCUGUGGAUAUAUGACUGCAGCAGCAUGGCGUGUGAUCUGGAUCGUCAUGACAGGUGUGUAUGAAAUGCUCCACCGUCGCCGUUACUAGACGGACCAAAUGAGGCCAAAAACUAGCCUUUCCUCGCUCCAUUCCUGGGAAGUGAAAUAGCAGGUGGUCAUGUAAGAAUGAACUUGCAACCAUGUGGGCAGUAGCCAAAGCUCCCUACAGUUCAUGCUGGUGGUGGAAUGAUAAGACAAACCGCAAUAUUUAUUUGUUUACUUAUUCACUUAAUAUUUAUUUAUUCAUAUCUCAUGAAUACUGUGCAGUUUUUUUAGCAAGGAGUCAGGUAAAAUAAAGAAAUAUUGUUGCAUCAAAGUAAACGUUAUUUGAAAAAGCAUAAUUCACGUAGCAUAAAUUCAUGGAAACUGUAAAUUUUGAAGAAACAGAGCAGUAAGGUUAACAAAUCUUAUAUAACAAAAAAUGAGAUCACAUUUCUGUUGGACCUAAUACCAUAAUUUAAUCUGUCAAAUUAGAGAUACCAUAUGCUGCUCUAAUAUACAAUCACAAAUUUAUGAGUAGAUGCGCGAAACUCUCAAACGUUGCAACAAUUUCAUGCUAGCUGUAAAUUCAUAUAUACAGUUUGUUGACUUUAGACAUAGCAGAUGGAGUCUGCAGAACUAUGAUAUCUCUUUCUGGCACAGAGACGGGCAUUAGUAAGCUUCGUGGUGUUAUUUUUCUGAAACCUGCCAAAUAGUCCUUCCUGCAACAGGUAGAAUUCUCAAAUGCCGCAAACUUAAUUCAAAUUAGUGCUGUGGUUGUCUCAAAAGUAUUUCUGUAUUUUGGAUGUAUUUGAGCAGGAAAAUUUACAGAAUUAACGAACUUGUGCUAGCUCUUUUUUUUAUUUACAGUUGCAAACUAAGUCCUUUUCCUUCAAGUUUUGCUAUUUUCAGCAAAUUUUAAUAAAAAUUGAUGGUGUUAAUGUAAAAACUAUAAUUUAAACAUUUUUAAAUGUAUCAAACCUCAUCAAAUUUGGUUGCAUAGUUGCCGAGAAAAACGAUUUUACUGUUCAUGUGCAUUACAUAGGAGCUCCUGAGCUAGAUCUCUUUUUUAGUCAUUGCGUGUGUCGGUCUGGUUUGUAUUUCUCACCCUAAUUAGAAUAUUGGCUCUGAUCUCAAAAUUGUUUCCCUUACAACGAAAUACAAGCUUUUAAACUUUUUACGAUAUAUGCUGCACUGCUCUAUGAUAACCCCUGUUUGCCACAUUUUUGCAGCGACUGCCAGUGUUAUUUUUGCUCAGACUAAAAUGCUGUGUCGUUUCGUCAGGCUGACACAACAUUGCAGUGCACAUUCAUAUCAGUCUAUUUUCAGGCUUUAGUAUCCAAACAUUUAAUGUGCACUGCUGGAACAGGCACUCCUUUUGCAGUUUUAAUGGUAUGGUUUCUUGUCCUAGUCAAGCCUGUUAUUGCGAGGUGUCAACUGUAAUCAAGUCUGCCACUGAUUCUUUUACCUCAUGUUUUGUGUGUUUGCACCACCAGCUUGACCUGAGAAGCAUGUUGGCAGCUACAGUUUGUGUGUUGCAAGUUCUAGUCUGAAGUGUGUAUGUCACAUAUAUGAAGCAUGUAUCUAGUCUGAAGUGCAAUAAACAUUUCAAACUGAAUACUUUGUGGUUGUAGCACCAAUUAUUUUGCCACUGCAUUUACUGUAGUCCUUAUUGCCUACAGUAGAACUUUGGUAAAUUGCAAGUACUUUACACACAUCG